rnacentral:rRNA from 1 species
CCCUUAGAUGUUCUGGGCCGCACGCGCGCUACACUGACGAAUGCAACGAGCUUAUAACCUUGGCCGAAAGGUCUGGGUAAUCUCCAAAUUUCGUCGUGAUGGGGAUAGAUUAUUGCAAUUAUUAAUCUUCAACGAGGAAUGCCUAGUAAGCGCAAGUCAUCAGCUUGCGUUGAUUACGUCCCUGCCCUUUGUACACACCGCCCGUCGCUCCUACCGAUUGAAUGGUCCGGUGAAGCGUUCGGACCGUGGCAAUGGCUCUGGUUCGCCAGACCAAUGCUGCGAGAAGCUGUCCAAACCUUAUCAUUUAGAGGAAGGAGAAGUCGUAACA